CCCCGUACACAAAAGCGCAUGUGUUGUGAGCUCGAUGAGUAGGGCGGGACACGUGGUAUCCUGUCUGAAUAUGGGGGGACCAUCCUCCAAGGCUAAAUACUCCUGACUGACCGAUAGUGAACCAGUACCGUGAGGGAAAGGCGAAAAGAACCCCGGCGAGGGGAGUGAAAAAGAACCUGAAACCGUGUACGUACAAGCAGUGGGAGCACCCUUUGGGGUGUGACUGCGUACCUUUUGUAUAAUGGGUCAGCGACUUAUAUUCUGUAGCAAGGUUAACCGAAUAGGGGAGCCGGAGGGAAACCGAGUCUUAAUUGGGCGUUAAGUUGCAGGGUAUAGACCCGAAACCCGGUGAUCUAGCCAUGGGCAGGUUGAAGGUUGGGUAACACUAACUGGAGGACCGAACCGACUAAUGUUGAAAAAUUAGCGGAUGACCUGUGGCUGGGGGUGAAAGGCCAAUCAAACCGGGAGAUAGCUGGUUCUCCCCGAAAGCUAUUUAGGUAGCGCCUCGUGAAUUCAUCUCCGGGGGUAGAGCACUGUUUCGGCUAGGGGGCCAUCCCGGCUUACCAACCCGAUGCAAACUGCGAAUACCGGAGAAUGUUAUCACGGGAGACACACGGCGGGUGCUAACGUCCGUCGUGAAGAGGGAAACAACCCAGACCGCCAGCUAAGGUCCCAAAGUCAUGGUUAAGUGGGAAACGAUGUGGGAAGGCCCAGACAGCCAGGAUGUUGGCUUAGAAGCAGCCAUCAUUUAAAGAAAGCGUAAUAGCUCACUGGUCGAGUCGGCCUGCGCG
rnacentral:rRNA from 1 species